rnacentral:rRNA from 16 species
AACUCUCGGCAACGGAUAUCUCGGAUCUCGCAUCGAUGAAGAACGUAGCGAAAUGCGAUACCUGGUGUGAAUUGCAGAAUCUCGCGAACCAUCGAGUCUUUGAACGCAAGUUGCACCCAAGGCCACUCUGCCGAGGGCACGCCUGCCUGGGCGUCA